UACGUAGGGGGGCGAGCGUUGUCCGGAUUUAUUGGGCGUAAAGAGCGUGUAGGCGGUUCGGUAAGUCUGUCGUGAAAUCCUGAGGCUCAACCUCGGGCGUGCGAUGGAUACUGCCGGGCUAGAGGGUGGUAGAGGCGAGUGGAAUUCCCGGUGUAGCGGUGAAAUGCGUAGAUAUUGGGAGGAACACCAGUGGCGAAGGCGGCUCACUGGACCGGUACUGACGCUGAGGAGCGAAAGCAUGGGGAGCAAACAGG
rnacentral:rRNA from 1 species